UAAGGAAUAUUGGACAAUGGACGCAAGUCUGAUCCAGCCAUGCCGCGUGAAGGAUGAAUGCCCUCUGGGUUGUAAACUUCUUUUAUAGGGGAAGAAAGAUACUUUUUUUAAGGUAGUUGACGGUACCCUAUGAAUAAGCACCGGCUAACUCCGUGCCAGCAGCCGCGGUAAUACGGAGGGUGCAAGCGUUAUCCGGAUUUACUGGGUUUAAAGGGUGCGUAGGCGGGCAUGUAAGUCAGUGGUGAAAUACCGGAGCUUAACUUCGGAACUGCCAUUGAUACUAUAUGUCUUGAAUAUUGUGGAGGUGAGCGGAAUAUGUCAUGUAGCGGUGAAAUGCAUAGAUAUGACAUAGAACACCGAUUGCGGAGGCAGCUUGCUACGCAAAUAUUGACGCUGAGGCACGAAAGCGUGGGGAUCAAACA
rnacentral:rRNA from 1 species